rnacentral:rRNA from 1 species
UACGAAGGGGGCUAGCGUUGUUCGGAAUUACUGGGCGUAAAGCGCACGUAGGCGGAUAUUUAAGUCAGGGGUGAAAUCCCAAGAGCUCAACUCUGGAACUGCCUUUGAUAUGGGUAUCUCGAGUAUGGAAGAGGUGAGUGGAAUUCCGAGUGUAGAGGUGAAAUUCGUAGAUAUUCGGAGGAACACCAGUGGCGAAGGCGGCUCACUGGUCCAUUACUGACGCUGAGGUGCGAAAGCGUGGGGAGCAAACAGG